rnacentral:miRNA from 14 species
UGUGUUUUUAAGGAGCUAAUUGGCUAUGUUAAAGUGCUAGUAAAAACCAUUGUUCUCUGGCUGGAGAGGUGGCUGAGCUGCUAAAGGCUAGGCUCACAACCAAAAAUAUA